GUUUUAAUAGUUUAAGUAAAACAUAAGUCUUGUAAACUUAAAAUAAUAUUAAUUUUAAAACU
rnacentral:tRNA from 1 species